rnacentral:rRNA from 1 species
UACAGAGGGGGCAAGCGUUGUUCGGAAUUACUGGGCGUAAAGGGCGCGUAGGCGGCCAACUAAGUCAGACGUGAAAUCCCCAGGCUCAACCUGGGAACUGCGUCUGAUACUGGAUGGCUCGAGUUCGGGGAGAGGGAAGUGGAAUUCUUGGUGUAGCAGUGAAAUGCGUAGAUAUCAAGAGGAACACCAGUGGCGAAGGCGAGUCCCUGGACAAUACCUGACACUGAGGCACGAAAGCCAAGGGAGCAAACAGG